rnacentral:tRNA from 1 species
GGGCCCGUAGCUUAGUGGUAGAGCGCCUCAUUUGCAAUGAGGAGGUCGCCGGUCCGAGUCCGGCCGGGUCCA